UGUGGAUUGUCCUUUGUACAAUGGUAGGAGAGCGUUCUACGGGCUUUGAAGCAUGAUCGUUAGGACAUGUGGAGCGCUUAGAAGUGAGAAGGCCGGUGUGAGUAGCGAAAGAAGGGUGAGAAUCCCGUCCACCGAUUGACUAAGGUUUCAAGAGGAAGGCUCGUACGCUCUGGGUUAGUCGGGUACUAAGAUGAGGACGACAGGCGUAGGCGAUUUAUAACAGGUUGAUAUU
rnacentral:rRNA from 1 species